AGAGACCCGAGGAAAUAAUAUAUCCAGUGAAUGCUUCUUUAGGCAUCUCUCUGGUCUUUCUAUCAAUCAGCAGUGACCCAGGUGUAAGAAGUCAGUGCUCAGCUGUCAUGGAUAUAAGAAGAAAACAGGUCGUUGCCUUCUGAUGCCAGCUGGGUUGUCCUUGGUCUUUUCCCCUCGGACACCCAUCGGUGACCUCAUAGGUUACAUUAAGCCAGAGCACCACAUUUAAAGUGUUUUGGAACUAAUAUGCUGCAAACAACCACAACUCAUCUGUGCUGGGACAUUCACUGUCAUUAUCACAAGGGAGGAAACUUCAGUGUCAGGUGCCCGCGCAGCACUGGAGUCCCAGCCUGGCUUUUACAGCCCUAGAAGGAAGUGCUGAGUGCAUUGCUUUCUAAUCUUGCCAGGGAGAUGUUCAGAGGGGAGGCUGCGCUGUGGGAAGUGGUGUAAGAUACACACGGAUCCAGCCAGCUCGCGCUUGUUUGAGUCCACAAGCAACGGCCAAGGGCCAGGCACUCGGGGAAAGUUCUCCCUGUCCCAUGGGAAGAGCACGUGCGUUUGGAAAGGUCCUUGGGCAGCCAUGGGUGGUGCAGGAGGGGAGGGUUUCUCUUAGGGUGGUGCAAGGAGCAGUUCAAUGCUCCCAGUGCUGCCCUGAGCAGCAGCUGGUGGUGCUAUGUGACAAGGCUCUCCUGGCACCAAGGUACAGGGACUCUCAAGGGACAGACUGUGUUAGCAACUGCAGUGGCCAUGGGGAAACAGGACAGGUCAGGUUAUGGCUGGGGAGCUUGCACUGUACAGGUGCAGUGAGUCCAUCCCAAAUCCUUUGCUACUCAUCUUACAGGGUGGAAAGGGAGAACAGUUUAUCUCCUCUUUGCAGCACAAGGAUUUGUGAGAACAUCCAGCACCUCUGAGCUACAGAACAUCCUCCUUUCUAUGGCUGCCUUCCUGUAAGAGCUUUGACUUCUGAUUAUGGGUAAUGCAGAUAGAAGUGUCCAUCCCCACCACCCCAGCCUCUGCAGAGCGGCACACAGGAGAGGGAUGAAAGAGCCUUGGGAAUGCUGAGCAUCAUUUUGUUAUUAUGACCUUUAAGAAGACAGUGGGAGGAUGGAGGAGAAACACGAGGAAGACACUAAGACCACACAGACAGCACUUAAGUGGGGAGAGCAAACCCAAAGGGAAUUAAAGAGACAAACAGGUGGAAGAAGAGGAAGAGGAAACAGGAGACGGCAAGACUGGCAAGGAAUGACAGAGCCACCUUCUUCCAGUUUAUCCAAGGAGCCAACGUGGGGGUUCUCCAUCCAUGAAAACCCAGCCUUCUGCCCAGUGUUCUCCCAUUUUCCUGAAAUCUCUGCUUUUGCUCCUCCAGGCAACCAUUAAUCUAAUAUUAAGCCCCUUAACCUCUCUAAUUGUUCCCUUUCAGUGUCAGCUGGUUUCCUAUUAACCUUUCAAUCUCCCUGUAAUGCAGUUACUUCUGACUCCAGCCAGCCCCAGCUCUAAAGCUUUACCUCCGGCAGUGAAUUUUCCAAGCUUUCACUUUUUUUUUCCCCUCUUUCUUUUCUGUAAUGAUUAUUACUGUUGUUAAAGAGCCAGUUCAAACCAGCCUCUAAGUGCACAGGGCCGAGCCAGUUGGAGUCUAUAAAUAGCCCUUUGCUAAC